AUUCUGAAAAUACACUCUCACGUACUCAACUGACUGGAUGAGAAUGCAUCUGGCCGGACGAAGCAGAAGCAAACCCACAGAAAGAAAUCCCCACAAACUGUCUUCCAGAAUGACCACGCCGCAGCCUCCCAAGGUCGCCUGAUCCCCUCCGACUCUGUAACAAGCACGCUCGCUCCACAGGGAGCCCAGGGCCCUUUCCGGAAGAGACGGGGCCCCAGACAAAAAGUUAAAUGGAUUUAAAUGUAAGCAGGUCUAAAAAGAAAGCAGAGUUUCCUUUUAGAAGCUUAAGAAAACAAUUAGAAAUAAAAGGAGGCCAGAAAGCACAGUUAAUGAAGGGGCCCGAGAAGCAAAGGCGAUGGGGAAAUUCACCCGCUUCACGAACACUUUUGCAAGGGCGAGACGGAGGGACCGCACCCAGAGCUCUUCUGACCUUGCCCUUGACUCACUGGGCUCUCACAGCUCACAUCCGCCCUCCGGGUGAGCUUAAAGUCGCCGCUCCAUGGAAAUGUUUGUUCUGCCUCUGGAGCAGAAGACACCGCUUCUGGUGGCCCUGGUGGCCCUGUCUCUGGGGCUCUGAGGUCCUGCCAGGCCAGGAGGAGGCUCUCUUCUUGUCUCACGAGCAGGAUUCGUCCAUGUGUUCUACUUUGGUCUUCACGCCGGAGCGAAUUCCUUCGGAGAACAUGUGUCUGUCUCCUUCCGCUGGCCGUCGGCCUGCUGCGCCCGGUCCCAGGCCUUCAGCAGCGGCGCCCCCAGCAUCCCUGUUGGCCCCAGCCCAGGAGGCAGUGAGGUGGCGUCUCCAGGGCUUGGUUCAGGGCACAGAGCUGGCAACCCGCCGUCGUUCACCGCGUUGGACUGACGAGAAGUCACUCAACCCCCUCUUUGCACAGACGGGAGGCGAGGACUCAGACGACAGUGCAUCGCGCGGCGUUCUAUUAGGUAAGCACUGGUGAUCCCUUUACACCAAGA
rnacentral:lncRNA from 1 species